UACGAACCGUACGAACGUUAUUCGGAAUCACUGGGCUUAAAGGGUGCGUAGGCUGCGCAGCAAGUUGGGUGUGAAAUCCCUCGGCUUAACCGAGGAACUGCGCCCAAAACUGCUGUGCUCGAGGGAGAUAGAGGUGAGCGGAACUUAGGGUGGAGCGGUGAAAUGCGUUGAUAUCCUAAGGAACACCGGUGGCGAAAGCGGCUCACUGGAUCUCUUCUGACGCUGAGGCACGAAAGCUAGGGUAGCGAACGGG
rnacentral:rRNA from 1 species